rnacentral:rRNA from 1 species
CGGCGGACGGGUGAGUAACACGUGGGUAACCUACCUAUAAGACUGGGACAACUUCGGGAAACCGGAGCUAAUACCGGAUAAGAUAUCGAACCGCAUGGUUCGAUAGUGAAAGAUGGUUUUGCUAUCACUUAUAGAUGGACCCGCGCCGUAUUAGCUAGUUGGUGAGGUAACGGCUCACCAAGGCAACGAUACGUAGCCGACCUGAGAGGGUGAUCGGCCGCACUGGAACUGAGACACGGUCCAGACUCCUACGGGAGGCAGCAGUC